GCUUGCGCAACAACUUCCACCUGGCUUACCUCUUCAGUUGUUUGUCUUGGCUUGUAUUGCCAAGGCGGAAUGUGGGUUUCCUGUGUUGCCUGCCUAAGUAAUGGUAUUGUCCCGAUCGAUCAUAUUAUCUUUCGUCUUGUGUCAUAUUAAUGACAUUAGAUGAACCAUAAAGUUGUCUCUUUGAACCACACCAAUAGUUGUUGUGGCACAUUGAGCAUUGCUUGGUAUCUUGGAUACGGAACCUGAUGUUGGCAUGGGGUCUCUUGAGAUCCUUGUUCUGCCCUCGUUAAGCGUUCUCGCUUCUCUUAAAAUGACUUCUUGCUACGCAUUGGCUCGUACCAGCGUGGUGAGUUAAGUCAAAGAGGAAUGC
rnacentral:misc_RNA from 1 species